rnacentral:rRNA from 1 species
UACGAAGGGAGCUAGCGUUGUUCGGAAUCACUGGGCGUAAAGCGCACGUAGGCGGAUGUGUCAGUCAGGGGUGAAAUCCCGGAGCUCAACUUCGGAACUGCCCUUGAUACAGCACGUCUUGAGUCCGGAAGAGGUGGGUGGAAUUCCUAGUGUAGAGGUGAAAUUCGUAGAUAUUAGGAAGAACACCGGUGGCGAAGGCGGCCCACUGGACCGGUACUGACGCUGAGGUGCGAAAGCGUGGGGAGCAAACAGG